AAUGCCGCUCAGCAACCUUCCUCCAUUUUUGAUGAAGAGCUUCCAUCAAUAUUUUCAAAGUCAGAAUUGCUACUCCAUUUCGGUGCAAUGUCUUCAUCGCUCUCCCACCAUUACAACAAAUGGAGUCUUAAUUCGGGACUCUUGCAAACUUUGAGUCUUAACCCAAGGCUCUCCUAUUACCAAGCAUGGAGUCUAUUCCGCAGAUUUUCUUUUAAAUGCAUCAAAUCUGUCAAGGGGAACGAGCAAAAUUGCUCGGGACUUCUUUUGGCUAUCUUUCUAUAACCAGUCAUUCCAUUUUCAUUUUUUAUUUUAUUUUAUUGCAUUUUUUAAUUUAUUUGCUAAAUACAAUCGCAGGUUUGGUGUAUCCCUGUUUUGGGAUUUUAGGAUAAACUUAGUUAGAGUAGGUUUUUAUUCUAUCAUUUGGACUAUUCCAAUCAUUUAUUAUUAAUAAAGUAAUAUUUUCAUCA